AUUUUAAAAUGUUUAUAUUUCAGGGAGAGAAUAUUUUCAAUUUCCCUAGGUUCGAACUGAGGCCGCAGCAUCCUUCUAAGAUUUUAAAAACAAUAAAAAGGUAAACUAUCAACUCCGGCCGAAUGAGCAGUUUAAAAUUAAAUUUUAAACAAAAGUUUUUAUUGUUGUGUGGCAUGUUUGUUCAUAACAUCAAUAAAUGUUUUCCAAAGAUAA